AGAGUUUGAUCCUGGCUCAGGAUGAACGCUAGCGACAGGCUUAACACAUGCAAGUCGAGGGGCAGCACAGGUAGCAAUACCGGGUGGCGACCGGCGCACGGGUGAGUAACGCGUAUGCAACUUACCUAUCAGAGGGGGAUAACCCGGCGAAAGUCGGACUAAUACCGCAUGAAGCAGGGGCCCCGCAUGGGGAUAUUUGCUAAAGAUUCAUCGCUGAUAGAUAGGCAUGCGUUCCAUUAGGCAGUUGGCGGGGUAACGGCCCACCAAACCGACGAUGGAUAGGGGUUCUGAGAGGAAGGUCCCCCACAUUGGUACUGAGACACGGACCAAACUCCUACGGGAGGCAGCAGUGAGGAAUAUUGGUCAAUGGCCGAGAGGCUGAACCAGCCAAGUCGCGUGAAGGAAGAAGGAUCUAUGGUUUGUAAACUUCUUUUAUAGGGGAAUAAAGUGGAGGACGUGUCCUUUUUUGUAUGUACCCUAUGAAUAAGCAUCGGCUAACUCCGUGCCAGCAGCCGCGGUAAUACGGAGGAUGCGAGCGUUAUCCGGAUUUAUUGGGUUUAAAGGGUGCGUAGGUGGUGAUUUAAGUCAGCGGUGAAAGUUUGUGGCUCAACCAUAAAAUUGCCGUUGAAACUGGGUUACUUGAGUGUGUUUGAGGUAGGCGGAAUGCGUGGUGUAGCGGUGAAAUGCAUAGAUAUCACGCAGAACUCCGAUUGCGAAGGCAGCUUACUAAACCAUAACUGACACUGAAGCACGAAAGCGUGGGGAUCAAACAGGAUUAGAUACCCUGGUAGUCCACGCAGUAAACGAUGAUUACUAGGAGUUUGCGAUACAAUGUAAGCUCUACAGCGAAAGCGUUAAGUAAUCCACCUGGGGAGUACGCCGGCAACGGUGAAACUCAAAGGAAUUGACGGGGGCCCGCACAAGCGGAGGAACAUGUG
rnacentral:rRNA from 1 species